GCAUAGGUUCAUCAAUCAAGGGACAGUCUCUAGCUUUAUGUCCAGGUUCAUUACACCGGAAGCAUUUAAUAUCGUCAACUGUCCCCCACCUAGACCCUUUUCCAGGAUUAACAUUUCUAGGCAAAAGCACAUGAGGUCUCUGAGAAUAUGUCUCUUGUUCCUCUGUGUCUCUGAAACCUUGAAAAUUCUUACCAGGUCUUUCAGCAUCUGGAGUCUUAACUCUCUGCUUAGCCUUUGUGUUGUUGAGCCACUGUCUGUCAUCUGCAGCAACAUAUCUUUCCACCAAACCAAUUAACUCAUCAGCUGUUUGUGGAUCGCUCUGACUGACCCAUCGACGCAGUGAAGCAGGCAAGCCCCGCAGGAAUCUG